rnacentral:sRNA from 1 species
CCUCAUCUAGUAUUGCUUACUAAGGGCUGAGAUACAGGUUACAAAUUCACCCCUGGCCACUAUCUUAAAAAUAUGAAGAAUGACUCUCAAGGCCAAAGACAAGGGAUUUUAGAUGAACACUGUUCUAGGACUGGAGGUGAGACACUCAGGAAAGGAGGAAAGCAAGGCUGUCUGCCAGGAGCCAUUGCCAAGAUGUGGUGCACUGUGCUCAGUGGUGCUGCUCUAGGGCCUGUUAGGGCUUUCCUGACAAGACCAUGGCAGGUAUGUUGGUCAGCACAUCUGUCCACUCAGGAUUUGUUCAAGUCCAAGAAGAGCAGUACUUCUCUGAUCUCUUCAUAUGAAGAUGCUCUAAAGCCU